rnacentral:rRNA from 1 species
GAUGAGCCCGCGUUGGAUUAGCUAGUUGGUGGGGUAACCGCCUACCAAGGCGACGAUCCAUAGCUGGUCUGAGAGGAUGAUCAGCCACAUUGGGACUGAGACACGGCCCAAACUCCUACGGGAGGCAGCAGUGGGGAAUAUUGGACAAUGGGCGCAAGCCUGAUCCAGCCAUGCCGCGUGAGUGAUGAAGGUCUUAGGAUUGUAAAGCUCUUUCACCGGGGACGAUAAUGACGGUACCCGGAGAAGAAGCCCCGGCUAACUUCGUGCCAGCAGCCGCGGUAAUACGAAGGGGGCUAGCGUUGUUCGGAAUUACUGGGCGUAAAGCGCACGUAGGCGGAUAUUUAAGUCAGGGGUGAAAUCCCGGGGCUCAACCCCGGAACUGCCUUUGAUACUGGGUAUCUUGAGUGUGGUAGAGGUGAGUGGAAUUGCGAGUGUAGAGGUGAAAUUCGUAGAUAUUCGCAGGAACACCAGUGGCGAAGGCGGCUCACUGGACCACAACUGACGCUGAGGUGCGAAAGCGUGGGGAGCAAA